GACGUAGGGCGCGAGCGUUGUCCGGAUUUAUUGGGCGUAAAGAGCUCGUAGGCGGCUUGUCGCGUCGAUCGUGAAAACUUGUGGCUCAACUACAAGCUGGCGGUCGAUACGGGCGGACUGGAGUACUGCAGGGGAGACUGGAAUUCCUGGUGUAGCGGUGAAAUGCGCAGAUAUCAGGAGGAACACCGGUGGCGAAGGCGGGUCUCUGGGCAGUAACUGACGCUGAGGAGCGAAAGCGUGGGGAGCGAACAGG
rnacentral:rRNA from 1 species